UCCUGUGUGGCUGAGUGGUAAAGAAUCUGCCUGCCAAGCUGGAGACACAGGUUCGAUCUCUGAGUCGGGAA
rnacentral:tRNA from 1 species